AUGAGUCGACCUGAUGGGAUCAACAUCCCCGACGACAAGUUCUAUCUUGGAGAUGCUGGCUAUGCAUGUCGGUCGGGUAUUCUUCCACCCUUCAGGAAAAUAAGGUACCAUCUCAACGAGUUCUCUGGUAGGAACUAUCCUAGGACUGCACAGGAGCUUUUUAAUCUCAGACACUCCAGCCUUAGAGUAACUGUUGAGAUGGCAUUUGGAGCUCUGAAGAAUAGGUUUAAGAUCCUGGAUCAGAAGCCAUUCCACCCAUACUCCACUCAAGUUCAGCUAGUUCUUGCUUGUUGCAUUCUGCAUAACUGGAUCCUCCAGUGA
rnacentral:rRNA from 1 species